AGAGACUUAAGUUAACACCCAGACUAAAAGCCUUCAAAGCUCUCAGCGGAAGUGAAAAUCUUCCAGUCCCUG
rnacentral:tRNA from 1 species